UUAAAGUUUUAUUCUUGCUUGAUAUUUUGCUUUAAUUUUAUUUUACAUGUAAAUUGUUGUGUGGUAGUAAUUAUAAUCUUAAAGAUUUAUUUAUAAAUAUUGGUAUUCGCAGUAUUUAAUUUUAAUGAUCAAAGAAAUUUGGAAUUAGUGAUAUUUGGUAGUACCGGCAAAAAUCGUGCCAGCUGCCGCGGUUACACGGAGGGUACAAGUGAAAGUUAUUAGUUUAUAGUUAUAUUGUUAGGUUGGGUGUUAAAAUUAAUUUUUUUAGGUGAAAUUUUUAAAAUUAAAUCAAUACUUGGUGGUUAAAUAGAGGCUAUGAAAUUUAAAUUUUAAACUAGGAUUAGAUACCCUAUUAUUUUAAAUGUAAAUUGUAUUUAAGCUUGAGUAGUAUGAGUUAUGUUCUUUAAACUUAAAGAAUUUGGCGGUGUUUUAGUCUUUUCAGAGGAACCUGUCCCAUAAUCGAUAAUCCACGUAGUAUCUUACUUAAUUUUGUUUUCAACUUGUAUACCGCCGUCGUCAGAAUGUCUUUGGAGAGAUUUAAUUUUCUAAAAUUUUUAUUAAAAAUGAUGUCAGGUCAAGGUGCAGUUUAUGGUUAAGUGGAGAUGGGUUACAAUAAAUUUAUUUAUACGGAGUAAUUGGAUGAAAAUCUGUUAUAAAGGUGGAUUUGAUAGUAAUUUUAUUUAUAAAGUUGGGUUGACUUUAGCUCUAAAACAUGCACACAUCGCCCGUCGCUCUCGUUUUUUAAGGUGAGAUAAGUCGUAACAUAGUAGGUGUACCGGAAGGUGCCCCUGGAAAGUU
rnacentral:ncRNA from 1 species